rnacentral:rRNA from 1 species
GAAUAUUGCACUAAUGGGCGCAAGCCUGAUGCAGCAACGCCGCGUGAGGGAUGAAGGGUUUCGGCUCGUAAACCUCUUUUCUGUGUGAAGAGCAAGGACGGUAGCACAGGAAUAAGUCUCGGCUAACUACGUGCCAGCAGCCGCGGUAAAACGUAGGAGGCGAGCGUUAUCCGGAAUUACUGGGCGUAAAGCGCACGUAGGCGGCGCUGCAAGUGGUGCGUGAAAGCUCCCGGCUCAACUGGGAGAGGCCGUACCAAACUGCGGUGCUAGAGACAGAUAGAGGUCGACAGAAUUCCGGGUGGAGUGGUGAAAUGCGUAGAGAUCCGGAGGAAUACCAGAGGCGAAGGCGGUCGGCUGGGUCUGGUCUGACGCCGAGGUGCGAAAGUGUGGGGAGCGAACGGGAUUAGAAACCCCGGUAGUCCACACCGUAAACGAUGCAUACUAGUUGUUAGGUGCCUACGGGCGCUGAGUGACGAAGCCAACGCGUUAAGUAUGCCGCCUGGGGAGUACGGUCGCAAGGCUAAAACUCAAAGGAAUUGACGGGGGCCCGCACAAGCAGCGGAGCGUGUGGUUUAAUUCGAGGCUACGCGAAGAGCCUUACCUGGGCUUGACAUAUAAGUAGUACCCUGGUGGAAACACCGGGAGACCUUCGGGAGCUUAUACAGGUGCUGCAUGGCUGUCGUCAGCUCGUGCCGUGAGGUGUUCGGUUAAGUCCGAAAACGAGCGCAACCCCUGGCGUUAGUUACAAGUGUCUAACGCGACUGCCCGGGGAAACUGGGAGGAAGGUGGGGAUGACGUCAAGUCAGCAUGGCCUUUAUGUCCAGGGCGACACACACGCUACAAUGGCCGGUACAAUAGGCAGCCAAGCCGCGAGGUGGAGCGAAUCCAACAAAACCGGUCUCAGUUCG